GUAUGUCUGACAUUGUGCAUUAUGCUAUAAUGCAGGUGUAUGUCAUCAUACAACUGACACACCGCAGCUCCCAGCAGCCCCAGCAACUGCUCAAGAGCUCAGGAGCAGGACACAUGACCAGUCAGGUGGUGAGACCAGUGACAGUUGGGAGAAAGUGUUGGUUGGUGAGAGCUGAGCUGAGGUAAUCUUGAGAGGAGAGCUAUGCCAUCAAGUGUGUGCUGAGGUGGCGUGGGGGUGACGGAGGAGAUGGAGGCAGACCUUCCUACCACAAGGGUGGUCAGAGAUGGCUUUACCCCCAUGCAAGGCAAGUCUGGGGGUGCAGAUGUAAUAAGAGUGACCGCAGCAGCUUCCAUAGCGGCAGUGGGUGGAGUUUUAUCUGGAGCCCUGGCAGUUAGUAAUGCCUCAAAGUGGACCAGGCCUCCCCAAUUAAGGCAAGAGGUGGGCAGCAGUAACAAAGGAAUAGUCCGUGGGAGCAGAUUGUCCGGAAAGAUACCCAGUAUCCCACACUGACAGCUACGGACAGCAUGGAGACCUAACACAGACACUUGGAGAGAAAGUUAGUGAAGGAAAGCUGCACAUGAGGUAAAGAGAGAGACAAGGAGUACCGUAAAAGGAUAUUCUACAUUAAUUAUUACCCUUGAGGAAUUUAGACAGCAUACCCCACAGAGUAACCAACGCCUGAGUACUGUAAACCCUCACAUCCUCAGGGAACUAUAAAGAAAAGGCAGCAACAGACUAGUUGGAAUUAAUGUACUAAUUUGCAAUCUUGCUAGGAAACGUCACUUGAGAGAGGAGUAGCUGCAACCUAGAGAAAGUCUCUAUUUUGUGCUGGUCACGAGUAGCAACUAUUGAAAUGGGAAAUUUGCUCGGAAACAUUUGCCUAAUUCCAUUAAUCCCUAUUGGAGACAGGACACCUAAAGUAACCUAACAUGCACCAUCUAUAAAAUACUCAGCUGAACUUUGUGAUUUAAAGUUAUUGGGGAUAUUGAUAGUACCGAGUAGUGUAAGAGUGACUAAAGGUAUUGCGCUAUUGUUUGCAUGUGUAGUAGUAAUGGUUAACAGCUUGUUUUAGACAAGCUCUAUUAACAAUUAGUAUUGUAUUUAUAUAGUAUUGUUGUCGAAUUCUGUUCUCUGCAAAUUGAAGUAUUCACAGUGCAAAAGAAUAUUUGUGUAAUUGCUGGUGCACUUGUCUGGAGGUAUUACAGUUGAACCAUUUGGAUCCAGGUACUUGCAGAGAAAACAACUCCGGGGGCUACCAGUUCCAAUUAAAUAAAUGUAUUAUUUUCUUUUGUGAAA